rnacentral:rRNA from 1 species
UGAGGAACAUGACCUUCGGCGGGGGAUAGCCGGCCCAACGGCCGGGUAAUACCGCGUACGACCUGUUGGGGACAUCCCCGAUUGGUGAAAGCAGCAAUGCGCCGAAAGAGUGCCUCGCGGCCUAUCAGCUAGUUGGUGGGGUAAUGGCUCACCAAGGCGACGACGGGUAGCUGGUCUGAGAGGAUGGCCAGCCACAUUGGGACUGAGACACGGCCCAGACCUCCGUACGGGAGGNAGCG